rnacentral:rRNA from 1 species
UGUGAGCUCGAUGAGUAGGGCGGGACACGUGGUAUCCUGUCUGAAUAUGGGGGGACCAUCCUCCAAGGCUAAAUACUCCUGACUGACCGAUAGUGAACCAGUACCGUGAGGGAAAGGCGAAAAGAACCCCGGCGAGGGGAGUGAAAAAGAACCUGAAACCGUGUACGUACAAGCAGUGGGAGCCUCUUUAUGGGGUGACUGCGUACCUUUUGUAUAAUGGGUCAGCGACUUAUAUUCUGUAGCAAGGUUAACCGAAUAGGGGAGCCGAAGGGAAACCGAGUCUUAACUGGGCGUUAAGUUGCAGGGUAUAGACCCGAAACCCGGUGAUCUAGCCAUGGGCAGGUUGAAGGUUGGGUAACACUAACUGGAGGACCGAACCGACUAAUGUUGAAAAAUUAGCGGAUGACUUGUGGCUGGGGGUGAAAGGCCAAUCAAACCGGGAGAUAGCUGGUUCUCCCCGAAAGCUAUUUAGGUAGCGCCUCGUGAAUUCAUCUCCGGGGGUAGAGCACUGU